GACCUGUAAGCUGGUUAUGAGAGAAGUUCAUGUACGAAAGGAAUGAGAGGCUCCCUAGCUCUUCCGGAAUUUCUCCUGAAAGCUGGUUUUGGGAAACGUCCAGUGACUCAAGAGCUGUCAGGUUUCCCAUAGAUGAAGGGAUGUGGCCGGUGAAAGCAUUGUUGGACAAGUUGAGCACAAGAAGCUCUUUCAAUAGACCAAUGGACCUUGGGAUCUCUCCUUCAAAUUUGUUUCCUGAAAAGUCGAGUGCUGUGUAGAUCUUCAGGAUACGUACUAGCUCCAUCUCUAAACCUUUAUUCACCAACACCGUUGAAUCUUGGUAAAAGUAAUCUCUCAUGUACAUUUCAUGUGGCUGAUCAUAAGUUGUACCAAGUGAUGACAUAGCACUCCACUUCACAAAGUAGUCUGAUGGCAAAGUUCCAUUGAAGUGAUUGUGCGAUAUGUCGACGAUUCGCAACUUAGAGAACGAAGUUUGAUGUAUCGGUCCAGCGAAGGCGUUGGAGCGUAACACAAGAACUUUUAGUUAGGGCUGGGCAAAUAAACCGAACCCGAAAACCCGAACCGAAUCCGAUCCGAUAAAAAUGAAUCCGAACCGAUCCGAACCCGAUGUAAAUACCGAAUGGGUCUUGUUUUGUGGUAUUUUGGGUUAUGAGUAUUAUCCGAACCGAACCCGAAUCUAAAUGGAUAUCCGAUAGAACCCGAAACAUUCAAAACCUCGAAAAGAUCUUGUACCAAACAUGAUCUCAAUUCCUAAUAUGUAUCCAAAAUACACUAAGAAAUAUUGAACAUCUAAAAUACUUAUCUAUUACAUGAAGGUUGUUGGUUCUAUUACAUGAAGGUUGAUGGAUAAAGAUGGCCGUUGAAUCUUGAAGUAUUUAGAUUUUGAUUUUGUUUUCGGUAACAAUGUUUCAUUUCAUGAGAACUUGGUUUUCGUUUUAUGUUUUUAUUUAUUUAGUUUUCUUUUAUGUUCCUUAUUUUUGAAUCGAUUUUACUUAAGUUUUGGUUAUAAAAUAGGUACAAAUCAGAUAUUUUAAAACUAAAGAACCGAUUUUAGUCAUGUUUUGGUUAUAAAAUAGGUAAAAAUCAAGUACUUUUAAACCGAAAAACCGAUUGGGACCCGAACCCGAAAAUAUAUUGGGUUGUACCGGUUCUUUGAAGAUUUACUAACCCCGACCCGAACCCGAUAGAACCCGAACCGGUCCCGAACCGAACUUUCAUAUAAUCCGAAUGGAGCUGAUUUUGAUAAACCCGAAAAACCGAAACCCGAUUGGAUAAAACCGAAACCCGAUUGGGACCCCGAAUGCCCAGGCCUACUUUUAGUUGUGGUAGAUAACUCAGCCAGUACGGAAACGUGUCAUUGAUAAUGUUGCUUUCCACAUUCAAAACUUCAAGACUAGUAAAAUGAAUCAAAGUUCUUGGAAGCUUUCCCGUCAGUUGGUUAUGACCGACGUCAAGCGUUAUUAAGCUUUCAAAUAUAUUCUCAGGAAGACCUCCAUGAAGACGAUUCUGACGAAGGUUUAGAACUUCAAGAGAACGGUUGAGAUUACCCAGACAACGAGGGAUUAAACCACUGCAGUUGUUGUUUGAUAAAUCAAGAAUGUAUACAGAGCGCAAAUCACAUAUGAAAGAGGGAAUCUCUCCCGUAAAAUUGUUGUUGGAGGCAAGGAAGAUUAGGCUAGAUAGCCUUGAAACUAAAACUGUUGUUAAGUUUCCGAAGCCAGUGAAAGUGUUGUUGGAAAGAUUCAGGUAAGUAAGAUUUGGUAGCGUCCAUAACCAGCCAGGCACUUGUCCUUUGAUUUUAUUGUUUGAAAUGUCUAGACUCUCCAAAUUUUUCAAUCUUGCAAACUCCGGAAACUCGGUGAUACCACAGCCUGACAAUUGCAACUCAGGCAACAAAGAUGGAUCUGAAACUGGACUCUUGUUUGUGAAUGAAACAAGGUUGCCUGAGAGAACCAACACACGGAGCCUCUUAAAAUAUGACAAGAAAUCAUUCAAGUCAAUGGUAGUGGUCGUGUUCAAAUGGGUUAGGUGAAGAUCUUCGAGCCACUUGAGAUGCGAGAAGAUAUUAAAGUCAAUUGGACCUUGUGUCUUGUAAUUGGAAAGGUGAAGUUCUACAAGGUUGGUAAAUUUUGAUAUCGUGGCUGGGAUUGGCCCUCUCAAGUUGUUAUUGCCAACGUAUAACAGUCCUAGCUGAGGUGGUGAAGAUAUAUUCCCAAGGUCAAGAAUACCAUUGAAUCGGUUAUCAGACAAUCUAACAUAUUCAAUAGAAGGAAUGGUGAAGAGAGAAGAAGGCAGGGUUCCAGUGAAAGCGUUGUUACUUCCAUCAAAGGUCGUCAAUUUGGAUAGUGAAGUGAUGUUAUGAGGAAUUGUUCCUGUGAACUGAUUGUAAUAGAGUCCUAAAUAUGACAACUUUGUCAAAUUCAGUAGUUCAAUGGGAAAGCUUCCAUUGAGCCUAUUGAGACCAACAUUUAAGCUGGUCAACUGGUUUAGAUUGCCAAAAGAAGAUGGGAUUUCUCCAACAAUCUCGUUCCCAGAAAGGUCAAGAUAAGUGAGGUUAUAAAGAUUUCCAAUAGAAGAUGGAAUCUUACCCGAAAUUUGAUUCAAAUGAAGGUUAAGAUAGGUGAGAUGAGAAAGGUUUCCAAUUGAAGAUGGAAUCGGACCAGAAAAACUAUUAGAUGAAAGAUCGAGAAAGGUGAGAUUCGAAAGGUCUAUAAUCGAAGAAAAAAUGAACUCGCUGAACUGAUUAAGUGAAAGGUCGAGAGAGGUGAUAUGAGAAAGGUUUUUAAUUGAAGACAUGAUUUGACCACUAAAACGAUUUCUUGAAAGGUCUAGGGUGGUUAGAGAAUGAAGGUUUUGAAGACUGCUAUUGGAAUGAAACCGGCCACCUAGGUAGCUGCAACUAAGGUCUAGCUCGAUCACUUCACCGGACUUGACGUUGCACGUGAUUGUAACGUCCCGACCCGCCCACGGCUAAUAGGCCACCCACGCCCGCUCUCUCGGCCCGUGGGCCCCAUCCCGUCUGACGGUCGGUCCGUUAAUUUUCCAAAGGCUCGAAAUCAUUGUUUACUGACCCUGCAAUCACCACCCGACCUUUUCCCAUGCUUUGGCCUCACUCGCACGCUAUCGCGAAUCACUUCCCGAUAGGUCACCCAUCCUUCCACUACUCCAGCUCAAGCACGCUUAACUCUGGAGUUCUUUCAGGAUGUGUUCCGGAAAAGGUAAGUCAACUUUGGUGACAUAGGUAGCCAAAUCAAUUAUCUUAAGCCUUUUUCACAUAUCACAACUCGGGAUGUUACAAUUCACCCCAUCUCAAAGAACGCAACGUCCUCGUUGCGCCCCAUGACAGGUCUUAAGACGCCUCUCAGGUCAGAACUGAGACGGCUAACCAGCUCUGAUACCACUUAUAACGCCCCGACCCGCCCACGGCUAAUGGGCCACCCACGCCCGCUCUCUCGGCCCGUGGGCCCCAUCCCGUCUGACGGUCGGUCCGUUAAUUUUCCAAAGGCUCGAAAUCAUUGUUUACUGACCCUGCAAUCACCACCCGACCUUUUCCCAUGCUUUGGCCUCACUCGCACGCUAUCGCGAAUCACUUCCCGAUAGGUCACCCAUCCUUCCACUACUCCAGCUCAAGCAUGCUUAACUCUGGAGUUCUUUCAGGAUGUGUUCCGGAAAAGGUAAGUCAACUUUGGUGACAUAGGUAGCCAAAUCAAUUCUCUUAAGCCUUUUUCACAUAUCACAACUCGGGAUGUUACAAUUUCCCACCAAAGGUUAUCGGAAUGGGAAACCUGAAAGAACUCCAGAGUUAAGCGUGCUUGAGCUGGAGUAGUGGAAGGAUGGGUGACCUAUCGGGAAGUGAUUCGCGAUAGCGUGUGAGUGAGGCCAAAGCACGGGAAAAGGUCGGGUGGUGAUUGCAGGGUCAGUAAACAAUGAUUUCGGGUCUUAGAAAAUUAACGGACUGACCGUCAGACGGGAUGGGGCCCACGGGCCGAGUGAGCGGGCGUGGGUGGCCCAUUAGCCGUGGGCGGGUCGGGGCGUUAUAAGUGGUAGGGAUUGUCGGAGUAGGCCAUUUGGUGCACGGGGAGUAGCACCAGCAGCACCAGCAGGACAGGCAGCACCAGCAGGACAGGCAGCACCAGCAGCACAGCCAGCACCAGUAGCACAGGGAGCGCAGGCAGCACCAGCUGCACCAUACGCACCAGGAGCUUGCUUCACUUGUGGCCAGUUUGGCCAUAUCUCCAGGUUUUGCCCGACUAAAGGGCCUGGGGCCAAGCGUCAAGCCAUCACCCCGCGUGUUUAUGCUCUAGGAGAGGCCAAUGGAGCUGAGCCGAUAGCCGGUAUGUAUCCUUAUCAUUUCUUUUUUUUUUUUUUGAGUAAUUGUGUUUUGGUGGAUAUCUAGUUAGAAAAAAAAAAAAAAGUCGACUUUUUUUGUGACAACCCGCCCCGUGGGAACUACCCGCCCCUUGGGCCCCAGGCUCACAGCGCUGCAGCGCACCGACCCCAACCCCUCAAUUAUGAGUUCUCUCUAACUCCAUAAUUAGGUUGUUGGUGAGCCUCGAACCCAGGACCUCACCCUUUAACAGCAUUCCCACAGGACAAGCUGUCACCAAUUGAUCUGCAGAUCAAUUGGUGACAGCUUGUCCUGUGGGAAUGCUGUUAAAGGGUGAGGUCCUGGGUUCGAGGCUCACCAACAACCUAAUUAUGGAGUUAGAGAGAACUCAUAAUAGAGGGGUUGGGGUCGGUGCGCUGCAGCGCUGUGAGCCUGGGGCCCAAGGGGCGGGUAGUUCCCGUGCUUUGGCCUCACUCACACGCUAUCGCGAAUCACUUCCCGAUAGGUCACCCAUCCUUCCACUACUCCAGCUCAAGCACGCUUAACUCUGGAGUUCUUUCAGGAUGUGCUCCGGGUUGUUACAAUUUCAGCAUGGGAAAAGGUCGGGUGGUGAUUGCAGGGUCAGUAAACAAUGAUUUCGAGCCUUUGGAAAAUUAACGGACCGACCGUCAGACGGGAUGGGGCCCACGGGCCGAGAGAGCGGGCGUGGGUGGCCUAUUAGCCGUGGGCGGGUCGGGACGUUACAAGUGGUAUCAGAGCUGGUUAGCCGUCUCAGUUCCGACCUGAGAGGCGUCUUGAGACCUGUCGGGGGCGCAACGAGGACGUUGCGUUCUUUGAGAGGGGGUGAAUUGUAACAUCCCGAGUUGUGAUAUGUGAAAAAGGCUUAAGAGAAUUGAUUUGGCUACCUAUGUCACCAAAGUUGACUUACCUUUUCCGGAACACAUCCUGAAAGAAUUCCAGAGUUAAGCGUGCUUGAGCUGGAGUAGUGGAAGGAUGGGUGACCUAUCGGGAAGUGAUUCGCGAUAGCGUGCGAGUGAGGCCAAAGCAUGGGAAAAGGUCGGGUGGUGAUUGCAGGGUCAGUAAACAAUGAUUUCGAGCCUUUGGAAAAUUAACGGACCGACCGUCAGACGGGAUGGGGCCCACGGGCCGAGAGAGCGGGCGUGGGUGGCCCAUUAGCCGUGGGCGGGUCGGGGCGUUAUAGUGAUACCCUCCCAAGUACAACAAUCGCUGCUAUUCCGCCAUGAUUCCGUUUUCGGAUGACGCUUUACUAUAUCAUCAUCAAAAUAACAAUCAUAAGCAAAGGAAGAGUUUAGAACCUCAAACUCGUUCUUCAACAGAAGAAGUGCAUCCCUUUGAUCCGGACGACACAAGUGCGUAGUUGGAACCGCAGACACGUCCCCAUAACUGUAGCCGAAUAAAAAAAGUAUAGAAAGAGUAAGAGAAAUGGUACUCGUUAAGUUCCAAAAGCCUUUCAUUCUUCUUUAAGCUUAUUUAACUUUCUUGAAUAUCAAAAACUGAAAGAGCAAAAAGAAAAGGGAAAUUGGUGAUGAGUAACAUGCUUCCAUGGCCAUUUCUUUAUAUACACAAUAAUAGACUCUGUAUUUACUCCACACAAAACAAAAUCCACAGAGAAAAAUACAUUAUUCGUCACGUCGAAAGCAAAAUCUUUGUGUCGGAUAGUCAAUUUUCUACACAUAUUGGUCCCCUACACUAAUUACAUGAAUUUUCAAAAAAAAAAGAAUUGUCUAAACCAAAGAAGACGUAAUUUAGGUUUAUAUUUGGAUUUAAACUAAGAGCACCCGCAAUGGGAAUCUUUAAGGAUGAGUCCUUAGGAAAAAAAUAAUUAAAUAAUCGGUGAAUCCCACCAAAAGUUAAGGAUUCAAUCUUUAAAAUUCCUAAAUAAGGACUCUUUUUUAGUGAAUCCUUGCACUAUUUGCGGGUCCCGACGACAUGUGGCGAUUCGCGAUUGGUUGAUAUUUAUUUUUUUUUAUCUAAAAAAAUAAAAUAAAUAAUAAUACUUAAAAAAUCAAAAUAUAUUUUUUCUAAAGAUUCGCCUUUGAGUAACACUAUUGUGGGUGCUCUAACGUAUACUACGACCCAUGCAUAUUGACCCAAAAGUACUAACGUUUACGAUUACGAGACCCAUGCAUAUUUGCAUAUAAUGUAGUCUUUCGAUUUGAUAGUACAAGUUUUAUCUUUUUUACUUAUUCUAUUUAAAAAUUCAAGAUUUUAUGACAUUCCUUGCUUUAAAAAAAGAACUAAUUUAACUACUAAACUAGCGUAAUUUUGAUAGAAUUUCAAAAUAAGAAUCAUGCAUCUCCUAUAUUAAUAAGAAGAAAACAAACAUCAACCUUUUCAAAAAAAAUCAACGGCGAACGGUCUUAUUUUUAUUUUUGGUUUAUUCCUCGUGACUUCCAAAAUGAAAAAUAUAUGCAAAAUGACAAAAAGAUUAAACUCUUUACUAAGAAUCAAUCAAAAUGAACAAAAAUAUCAAUCUGCAUGAGAACAUUCUUCAUAACAGAAAAAUCAACUCUUCGUCGUGAAUGUACCGGCGAUCGAGCCAUAUGGCCCAUAUCAUAGUGAGUACAUUCUUCAACUAAUAUUCCUCAGGGCGAGAUCGUCAGGAAGAAACCAAGAUUUUACUCGAUCGCUUUCUUUUUGUUUCUUCAAUAUAUGGCUGUAGUAACCAAAAACAAAUAAAUAAAUGUUGAUGAACCAAUCAGUUUCCGCAUUUUUUUCUUUCUCACGUCAAUAAUAACAAGUUUUGGUGAUAAUCAUCUCACUUUCAUUAGAUAAAAUAUACAGAAAAGAGACAACUAGUGAUGAGAAACCAAAACUUCCAUACGGAAGAGGCUCGUUCAGAUUUUCUUAUUAUGUUUUUCCCCACUUUCUAGAUUAAUGUAAUUUUGUAAUAUACAUUAUUAAUCGUUUCAUAUAUAGUUUCAAGCAACCUACGAGAGACUUCCAAGUCCACAAGAAGGUUAGGGGAAUCAUCUACCUUCAUCCAUGAACCAUCUUCACCACGCGGUUGAACCACGAAGCUGACUCCUUUCACGUCAGAAUCUACCACCAGCUCCGAAACGUAAUAGGCUGGUACGUGAGACACUCCUAGGAACACUCUCUCGCUUCUUGGUUUCUCCAGAACCUUUCUUGAUCUUAGUACAUCAGUUGACUUCACAUUCUCUGCAUACACAUUGUACACUGGGAGAACAGAGUCUUCAAGCUGUGUCUGUCUCCAUUCUAGCUUAACCUUAAGGAUCCUAGAACCGGAUUUACCCAGUACAAGCUCUAAGUUAUGAGCCUCGAUUACCCAUGAUGUCGCUGGAGGUAAGGAAACGAGGUUUUGCUGGAGUAGCUGAACAUGAUGAUCUUUGAUUGAGAUGUGAUCCAUGAUUCCCUCCUCCGUUAUAAGAUGCCUCUCUAGUACUAAACAAAUUCAUGUGCUCACCGUUAUACGUUUGCAAACAAAUAGUGAGCUGAAUGAUAUCAGUGUUGUCUUCCUUGAACUCUAGGAUUGGCUAACAUUAAUAACACAACAAAGGCACCCAUCAGAUGAGAGAAGAGACAAAAUAUUAUAUGCGCAGUUAAAGCGAGGACGAUAAGAUGGUUGAACCUGAAGACUUUGGCAAGAAAUGUUGUACCAUGGAGCAUCAGAUAACUGGCGACCCUCGAGUGAAACAUGGUAACCAAAGCUCUGGAUAAACGAGAAAAGAUAUUUUCAGAACAUAACUUAACAUAAAUCAUCGCCAAGACAGUCGAUGUAUACUUUACCUGAUUGAAGUCAGAGUAAAAAGGCAAGACUUGUGGAUAUGUUUGGACUACUCCCCAUGACUUCUCAACAAGUGACCACCAUCUGAAGGGAAAACGAAUGAACGAUAAUAAGAUGACAAAGAAAUGCCAAUUUAUUUUACAAGCAAACAGACAAAAGAAGUAAUACUUAUUCUGAGCUGUAUGAAAAUUAGGAGGCUGUGCAGUCUCAUAUACCCAUCCAGGAGCGAAAAUGGCAGCUGAUACAUUGUUUCUCUUCAGCAAAUCAAGAGCAGUAUUAACCUAUAAUAUAUAGAUUAAUGAGACAAUGAUUGAAUCUUUAAGCUUCUGAGAUUUCAGAUUGUUGAUUUGGAACCAUAUCUUUGAGCAUCUACUCAAUUGAGUUGAAUUGUGUUGUUGUUGUACAGGGAAGAAGUUGUAGAGAUUAGAUUGUGGAGAAGCUAUGGUAGAGCAAUGGUUGGAUCUGAGAAGAGAGCUCAGCUCAUGGAGAUUGGAGAAACUGUUAUUAUUCUUACUCACUAGGUUUCAAGUUAGAGUAAUGCUUUUUUUUUUUGUGUUUACUUAUCUUAUUUAGGGUACAUUGGUAGCAAAGCAGAUUGGUGAAAGAAACUCUUGUAGUAAUCUGACAGACAUAUCAACAUGUACUUUUGUCAAGUGUUUAAUGUAUUAUCGUUUGUGUAUCAAUGCCUGCAGUUCCAAAUAGAGUUUUUUUCUCCUUUUUUGUUAUCAGCAAUUAGUCUUUUGCGUAAUCAGGUCUCAAAGUUCUCUUUCCAGGACAAUGUACAUCAGAGACAUUCAUGUUCUUCCAUAAUUUACGUUUGGAAGACCAAACCCACCAAGCUAUUGUUUGGCUGUUUGCUUAUAUGACUUUGCAUCAAUCUUUAUCGUGUUGAAGCUCACGCAUCUUCUUCUGAAGAAGAUUGUUUCUGUAGAUUAAUAAAGAAGGGAACAGAAUGGGGGCAAGGCAUGGGCCUAUUCAUCAUUUGUGUUGGCUUGAUCUUUUCAUUGCUACUUACAUGAUUGGCUCGUGGGUUCGAGUCCAAGCUCGUAGGUCACACACAUCAUGAUCAUGUAGUGGCUUAUCUUUGAGAUUUUGGUAUUGAGCUUUAAGUAUAAUGUUGAAAAAUCAAAGGAUAACGUACCAGAGGGAUUGUGAAAGUGACCAAUCAGUUGGCUGUUUCUUUUUUGAGAUCGUGGACACCAAAACAAAGAGAAGCAAGACUUGGAUUCGAUUAAAAAGUCAGUCAAGAAAAAUAUAAAAAGAAAGAUCCAAGAGGAAUUUUCUUAUAAAAUGGAUAAUGAUCGUUAAACCCAAAUUUUAGUUGAGUAUAUAUAUAUUUAGUUAUUGUUAAUUGUUAAUUUAGAUUAUACAUAUUUAAUCAAACAAUCAAAGGUUGAAAUAGAAACAAGAGAGUGUGGACAUGAAGAAAACAAGACCCCUUUAGGCCUUUACUAGCCAUUUCUCUUCCUCUUCUACUCAUCAUUCAUUAUCAAUGAGAAUAUUACCAAUCACAAGAUAAAUCAACGCAAACUUUUUUUUUUUUUUUUUGUAUUGUCACAUUCGAAAAUCAUAAGCUUAAAACCUUUUGAACUUUGUAUAUACACAAAAUGGAAUCUUGAUAAUUAUAUUUGCAAAGUUUAUAGUUUCUAUGAGUUAAUGUGUCUCAUUGAUAUGAACAAUCGAAAUAUCCAUAUAUAAUAUGUACAUCCUUUUCUAAAGCGCUGUGUAACUGUGUUGAUUAUAGCUUUUAUCUGGAUCAUCUGUUCAUUGCUCAUCUCACGUCUAAACAGUUGAUGUUAAGAUUCACAAGAGGGGAAAAGACGACACAUCUUUGACUGUGCUUGUAAUUUUCAGCGUAAGAAACAUAGUUGUUGUUCAAUUACAGAGAAACAAAGAAAUUUGCUAAAACGUAAAAAAAAAUAGAGAUAGAGAAAAAACACACCAAGCUAAACCAGAAACGAUAUCCCAAAUCUUAUUUGAAAUUAUGAUAGACAUAGUAAUUGCUUCGGAUUUCAUCUUUCAGAUUCCGCAGGUAGCUUAUAAAAGACCUGUACCAAAAAAAGAAAAGGUUAACUCAGGUGAUUUCACUAUUAAUAUUUUUGUUUCUUCAAAUGUUUGCUAACAAGUUGACUUAAAACUCUAGAAUAUAUUACCUCUUUAAUGAGUUGUGCUGCUGCUGAUUCUGCGCUUGUUUCGGGCAAAAGGGUCGAUGAACCACUCUGGUUUGUAGGAAAAGAGUAUGUAACCAAUCACCCAUCCAAAGGCAAUACCAGGUAUGACUCCUAUUACAGCUGCUAUCCAACUCAACACCUCUUCUUCUUCUUCAUCCUCUGAUUCCGGUGUUUCAUGCGGUGUUGGCAUGUGGAUAUCUCUGCAAUCUUCGUCAAGAGAAGGGCCAAAAAGUCCCGGAUUAUCCUCAAAGUAAGUGCAGUCCAGCCUUUGAAACUGAGUGCCUCCUGGUACUAGACCUGUAAGCUUGUUAUGAGAGAAGUUCAUGUACGAAAGGAACGAGAGGCUCCCUAGCUCUUGCGGAAUUUCUCCUGAAAGCUUGUUUUGGGAAACGUCUAGUGACUCAAGAGCCGUCAGGUUUCCAAGAGAUGAAGGGAUGUGGCCAGUGAAAGCAUUGUUCGACAAGUUAAGCAUAAGAAGCCCUUUUAAUAGACCGAUGGACCUUGGGAUCUCUCCUUCAAAUUUGUUUCCUGAAAAGUCAAGUGCUGUGUAGAUCUUUAGGAUACGUACAAACUCCAUCUCUAUACCUUUAUUCAUCAACACCAUUGAAUCAUGGUAAUAGGAACCUCCCAUGUAAUUGUCAAACCGCUGAUCAUAAUUGUCCCCCAAUGAUGACAUAGCACUCCACUUCACAAAGUAGUCUGAUGACAAAGAUCCAUUGAAGUGAUUGUGCGAUAUGUCGAUGAUUUGCAACUUAGGGAACGAAGUUUGAAGUACCGGUCCAUGGAACGCAUUGGAGCGUAAUACAAGAAUUUUUAACUCUCGUAGAGAAUGCAACCAGAACGGAAACGUAUCAUUGAAAAUGUUGCUUUCCACGUUCAGAACUUCAAGACUAGAGAAAUGGAUCAAAGAUCUUGGAAGCCUUCCUGUCAGUUGGUUAUGACCAACGUCAAGCGUUCUUAAGCUUUCAAAUAUAGUCUCCGGAAGACCUCCAUGAAGACGAUUUUGACGAAGGUUUAGAUAUAAAAGAGAACGUUUGAGAUUUCCCAGACAACGAGGGAUUAAACCGACGAAUUUGUUGUUCGAUAAAUCAAGAGUGUAUACAUAGCGCAAAUCACAUAUGAAAGAGGGAAUCUUUCCCGUGAAAUUGUUGUUGGAGGCAAUCAAGUUUACGAUAGAAACUGUUGUUGAGUUUCCGAAGCCAGUGAAAGUGUUGUUGGAAAGAUUCAGGUAAGCCAGCUUUGGUAGCGUCCAUAACCAGCCAGGCACUUGACCUUUGAUUUUAUUGUUGGAAAUGUCUAGCCACUCCAUAUGUUGGUUUCUUGGAAAUUCUGGAAACUCGGUGAUACCGCAGCCUGACAAUUCCAAAUAACGCAGCAAAGGGGGACCUGAAACUGGACUCUUGUUUGUGGCAGAAACAGGGUUGCCUGAGAGAACCAACCUCUCGAGCCUCUUAAAAUAUGACAAGAAAUCAUUCAAGUCAAUGGCAGUGGUCGUGUUCAAAUAGGAUAGGUCAAGAUCUUCCAGCCUCUUGAGAUGCGAGAAGAUGUUAAAGUCCACUGGAGCUUGUGUCUUGUAGUGGGAAAGGUCAAGUUGGACAAGGUUGGUAAAUUUGGAUAUCGCGGCCGGGAUUGGCCCUCUCAAGUUGUUAUUGCCAACGUCUAACUUUCGUAGCUGAGGUGGUGAAGAUAUAUUCCCAAACUCAAGAAUACCGUUUAAUUGAUUAUCAGACAAAUCAACAAUAUCCAUAGAAGGAAUGGUGAAGAGAGAAGAAGGCAGGGUCCCAGUGAAAGCGUUGCUACUUGCUAAAAAAAUCGUCAAUUUGGAUAGUGAAGUGAUGUUAUGAGGAAUUGUUCCUGUGAACUGAUUGUAAUAGAGUCCUAAAUAUGACAACUUUGUCAAAUUCAGUAGUGCAAUGGGAAAGCUUCCAUUGAGCCUAUUGAAACCAACACGUAAGGUGGUCAACUGGUUUAGAUUGCCAAAAGAAGAUGGGAUUUCACCAACAAUAUUGUUCCUAGAAAGGUCAAGAUAAGUGAGGUUAUAAAGAUUUCCAAUAGAAGAUGGAAUCUUACCCGAAAUUUGAUUAAAAUAAAGGUUAAGAUAGGUGAGAUGAGAAAGAUUUCCAAUCAAAGAUGGAAUCGGACCAGAAAGAAGGUUCCAUGAAAGAUCGAGAUAGGUGAGAUAAGAAAGGUUUCCAAUAGAAGAUGGAAUCUGACUCAAAAAAGGAUUAACAGAAAGAUCAAGAUAGGUGAGAUGAGAAAGGUUUCCAAUUGAAGAUGGAAUCUGACCAGAAAAACGAUUAGAUGAAAGAUCGAGAAAGGUGAGAUAAGAAAGGUCUACAAUCGAAGAAGGAAUGAACUCGCUGAAACCAUUUUGCGAAAGGUCCAGAGAGGUGAGAUGAGAAAGGUUUCUGAUAGAAGACAUGAUUGGACCACUAAAAUAAUUAUUUGAAAGGAGUAGAGUAGUUAGAGAAUGAAGGUUUCGAAGACUGCUUUUAGAAUGAAACUUGCCACCUAGGUUGCUGCAACUAAGGUUUAGCUCGAUCACUUCACCAGACUUGACGUUGCACGUGAUACCCUCCCAAUUACAGCAGUCGCUGUUAUUCACCCAUGACUCUGUCUUCCGAUGAGGCGUAAUACCACGAUCAAUACAAUUAUAAUAAGUAAAGGAAGAGUUUAGAACCUCAAACUCGUUCUUUAAUUGGAGAAGUGCAUCCCUUUGAUCUGGACGACACAAGUGCGUAGUUGGAACCGCAGACACGUCCUCAUAACUGUAGCCGAAUAAAAAAAGUAUAGAAAGAGUAAGAGAAAUGGUACUCGUUAAGUUCCAAAAGCCUUUCAUUCUUCUUUAAGCUUAUUUAACUUUCUUGAAUAUCAAAAACUGAAAGAGCAAAAAGAAAAGGGAAAUUGGUGAUGAGUAACAUGCUUCCAUGGCCAUUUCUUUAUAUACACAAUAACAGACUCUGUAUUUACUCCACACAAAAAAAAAUCCAGAGAGAAAAAUACAUUAUUCGUCACGUCGGAAGCAAAAUCUUUGUGUCUGAUAGUCAAAUUUCCACAUAUAUUGGUCCCCUACACUAAUUACAUGAAUUUUCAAAAAAAAAAAAAAGGAAUUGUCUAAACCAAAGAAGACGUAAUUUAUGAAGUCUUAUUUUGCUUAGGUUUGUAUUUGGAUUUAAACUAACGUAUACUAACGACCCAUGCAUAUUGCAUAUACUAACGACCCAUGCAUAUUGACCCAAAAGUACUAACGUUUACGAUUACGAGACCCAUGCAUAUUUGCAUAUAUUGUAGUCUUUCGAUUUGAUAGUAAAUGUUUUAUCUUUUUUACUUAUUAUUUAAAAGUUCUGACAUUCCAUGCUUUGAAAAAAGAACUAAUUUAACUGCUAAACUAGUUUAAUUUUGAUAGAAUUUCAAAAUAAGAAUGAAUCUCUUAUAUCUUUAUAUAUAAAAGAGAGUUUGAUCUCUCCUGGUGAAGCCACCUCAGCAUCCAGGUCACAAAUUCGUGCUCUGUUGUGCUGACACGUGUCGCCUUUCCUCUCAACGCAGCGUUUCAUUAAUGUAUGGUAUCAUGGGCUUUCCGUUUAUUGUAUGUUACUGGUCUUGGAAUCGUGCAAACAUCCGGCCUGGAAAGUGAAAACAGAAACUCUCUCCCCCUAACCCUAAUACAGCUUAAACUAACCCACGAAGAUCGUCUCUCAUCUUCAUGCGGCUGCGGUGACGUUUGCGCUUACUGUAACAGACUUCUUUAUGGAUUCCUCUUUAAUCCUGUUGAUUUAUUCUCCCAUGAUGUGUCUUCGAUGCGUUGAUUAGGUCUGAAAGGCGGUGUGUGUUCAGCAUAAAUAUGUGAGCAAUCCUCAUCUUGGACUCAUCUUUUCUUUCAAUUCUCUGAAAGUAUCUCAGGUUAAGCGAGGCGGCGAGGGUCGACACACUCCUCAUGUACGCCAAGGGUUGACAUCGCCAUUAACGAUCGUCUAACUCUUCGACCCACUCCAACCACGAUUCACAAUUCAAUGCGUUGUUCCUUUCUACAAGGCGGUAGAUCUCCAGCUAUAAGAAGGUCAGCUUUCAUCCCGUGAACAUCAUUAUCAUCCGCACAUUUAGAAAGCUUGAGUUUAAUUGAUUUUGGUUUCGUUUCUUGAUUUGUUUUUUUUUAAUGUAUUUAUGAUUUGGGUAUCGUUUAUUGAUUAAUAAACCUUGAGUUUUGAUGAUCUUGAUUUCGUUUUAUGUUUUUUCUGUUUGUUUUCGUUUAUUAAUUUAGAAAGCUCGAGUUGACAGAAAAAAAAUUAGAAAGCUUUAUUUUAGACGCUUUUGGUUCCGUUUAUUUAUUUUGUUUUUGUUUGUUACUGUAAGAUUUUUUUGGUUUCGUUUAUUGCUUCUUGAGUCCAUAUACCGUGUGCAGAUAUGUGUUGUUGAUGAGACCGACCGACGAAGCUGUUUUGAUUACCAGUAUCCAGUUUCAAAGGUCUCGGUUACACUAGAACAAGAAGUUCUCACAACGCUUACACAAAUACAUCGAUUUGUGAGAAUAAUCUUACGUCCCAAGUUUUUUAAAACUAUAAACUGGUAAGCUCUUAUACAAUUCCCCAAGGUUGUUCUUAAGUCUGUUAAUUUUGAUUGCUUAAAUUAAAUUCUUUGCGCAGAUUCUUCCAAUGGCGUUCCCACGAGAACAAGCCAAGAAUGACUCUGUUAGUUAAAUACUUGGCAAGUUUCUAUCAAAUUUUCUUAUUCAUUUUUUGUUUAAUUUGUGGGUUGUUUUAAAUUCAAAUUUCUUACUUCAUUUCGAUUGCGUAGAUUGUAAAUUAAAAAACAAGCAAGAUAGGAUACUCGGGGAGGUCAGAAAUGAGAAAGUUGAGCAAUGAUGAAGAGAUGGAUGAGAUUGGGAUUGAGGUUUCAGGGUUGAAUUAUGAGUCUGAUGAGUUGAACAAGAGCAGUAAGACUACUAAGAGUGUUCAAAAUGGAGGAGGUAAUGUAAGAAUAGAAUGCCUGCUAAGAAUCCGAUGGCUGAGAAGAGGAGGAGGUGGGUGAUAGGCUUUACAUGCUUAGAUCAGUUGGCCCCAAGAUCAGCAAAAUAAACAAUUACUUCUCUCUGAUCUCCUCAAGGGCUUCGUCUUCAUCAUUUAUUUAUCGCCGUUAGAGUUCGAUAGAUUCUGUGUUGUGUUUGUUGCGAUGGAAUUUCAUUAACAACCACAUACAUUAUGCAUUAAACCUCAGACUUCGGUUCGUGUCAAUUUCAAAGAUACCACAUGCAGCUGUUUAUUAGCUUUCCAAAAAAUGUUAUUCACAUACCCAUCAAUAGUGUCCAAAAUAGUAGAUUCAGUGAUCCAUUUCAGUUACGCAACUUGAUAUACAACAAACUCACUCAGUUGACAAAAAAAUAACAAACACUCACGUGGAUAGCUCACCGAACCUCCCGUACUGCAUAGAUUAAGUUUGGCUGAUUUUCCACAGUAAUUUGACGCCCAAAAUAACAAGUCCCACAUCAUAAAGGAUAUCAAUUAAUAAAUCAAAACUAAUCCCUUUCUAGAAUUGGAGACUUGGAGGCAUGCUUAAAUUAUUGAUCCAGAAUACAAAACCAAAUACACAAACACCAUAAGAUGCUACCUUAGAUAACUAGAUAUUGAUAGUAAAACAGAGGCACCCUCACAUAAGGUACGAAAAUAGUAACCCACCAUAAUCUACAAAGUUAGUUAUAUUAAAGAAAUAUGGCAAGGCUGAAUCGAAUGGAUAUACAAAAAAAAAAGAUGACAAAAAAAUAGCCAUAUAAAUUUUCAAAACCUUCAACAUUGUAUAUGUAAAUAAAAAGAUUAGUCUUUUUAUAUAUAUAUAUAUAUAUAUAUAUAUAUAUAAUUUAACCAACAAAUAAUAUUUGGUGAAAAUUUAGUCAACAAAUAAUAUUUUUUUGAAGAUACAUAAUAUAACCCAAUACAUAAAUAUAAGAGUACAUAGAAAAUUUCAACAAUAUAUAAAAAUUACAAAAAAGAAACCAAAACCACAACCCGGUCCAUACCCAGACCGGGAUAAACCAAUUCCAAAGCUUAAAAUGAAGGACAAGUAAGCUUUUCUACACCAAAAAAAAAAAAUUACCGAAACCAAUUGCCACAAUAUGUUUAAUAUGUGUGAGAAGGUUGGCAGAUGAGCUAUGUUACCUUUGGUUGAGCGUGUUCAUAUUUCACUUCCGUUGACAACUCAGUCGAUGGUCUCAUAAAUACAUGUGUGGAUUUAUUUUAUUUUUAUGUAACCACAAACUUCUUGAUAUACUAUAGAUUGUUUGAGGCUUCAUACAAAGAGAUUGUGAUUGAAUAUAACUCAGUUCUCUCUUCUCAACUCAUGGUUCUGAGUAUAAGUGAUACCUUACAAUCAAUAAGUGAUGAGACUGUCCCAUAAAUUUCACUUUGAUAAAGUCUAUGAUUGUUUCUCUGCGUUUGUGUUUCAAUGUUAUAUCUUUUAUUUUAUCUUUUCCAACUUCUUUGAUCAGAGCAACGAAUACACAACUAUUAAAUAGUUUUUGUAAUUCCUACUAGAUUUUCUGCCAGCUAAAUAUAUUUUGUCAAAUUGAAUUAUAAAUAAUAUAUAUAUAUAUAUAUGUAUAUAUUAUUACAUUCUCUGAAUUAUUUUUUUUUUGUAAUUUUGUGUUCUCUAAAAAAUAGAGAAUAUGAAAGUUUUUGUAGUUCUUACUGUCUCAGACUGUUUAAGUUGAUGAAAAAAAAAAGAGGUUAUUGUCAUUUUAAUUCUAACAAAAAUUAUUUAUUAAAAACAACAAUAUGAUCUUAGAAUUUUUUUUCUAUUAUUUGUUUGUCUAUAAUAUUGCUUUCAAUGUAUAAUAAUUUUAAAUGCUUCAUACAAUUAAUAUAAAUUUAUAUAAAUAGUUUUUAUUAUAACUUCCCGCCCGUAGGGCGGACCAACCCUAGUUUAAUAAGAAGAAAACAAACAUCAACCUUUUCAAGAAAACUCAACGGCGAACGGUCUUAUUUUUAUUUCGGUUUAUUCCUCAUAAUUUCCAAAAUGAGAAAUAUGUGCAAAAUGACAAAAAGAAUAAACUCUUACUAAGAAUCAAUCAAAAUGAACAAAACUAUCAAUUUGCUUGAAGUCAUAUAAUUGUGAGAACAUUCUUCAUGACACAAGAAUCAACUCUUCUUCGUGAAUUGAAUGUACUCACGAUCGAGUCAUAUCUACUAAUAAUAUCAAUUUCAAUUAAUUCAAAAGGUUGUGAAUUCCACUUAUGUUGAAAGAUUGUGUCUUUUCAACAAUUAAAAGUUGUGUGUUUUUAUUUAAAAAUAACUAUUUAUAUUGAAAGAAUGUGACCAUUUAUAUUGAAAAAUUGUGACUCUUCAUAUAAUUAUUAUUACAAAAAGACACAACCUUUUAAUUCAAAAGAUGUGACUCUUCAAACAAAUUUUUGAAAAUCUACAAAUAGUCCAAUGUCCAUGCCCUCUCAAAGCAUAAUUUUCGCUAAUCAAAUAAAAUGGUGAAGGAAAAAAAAACAAUCUACUAAUAAUAGCAAUCCCAAACCAUGUUGAAAAGUGGUGUGUUUUAUAGAAAUUUUAUUUCUUGUUAAAAAUUGUGUCUUUUCAUUAUAUAUUAAGAUAUGUCCUUUCGUUUCAAGAGUUGUGUAUUACUUAGUAUUUAAAUUAAAAAGAUGUAAUUAUUUAAAUGAAAAAUUGUGACUAUUCAUAUAUGUAUUAUUUCAAAAUAACUACCUUUAAAUUGAAAAGAUGUGUCUAUUUAAAUUGAAAAAUUGUGACUAUUCAUAUAAGUAUCAUUUCAAAAUAAUCAUCUUUAAACUGGAAAAAAUGUGACUAUUCAUCUAUAUGAAAGUUGCAUCUCUUAAUUUUUUAUAUGAAAAGUUGUAUUUAUUAGUAUUGAGAUGAAAAAUUAUGUCUUUUUGUUUUUAUUUUGCUCAUAUCUAUUUAUUAAUAUUUUAUAAAUAUUUGCAAUUGUUUUAUUUCUAAAAAUCAGUGUAUUGAUUAAUAUGAAAAUUUGAAUCUCUUAAGUUUUAUGCAUAAAGUUGCAUCUCUUAAAUGUUUUACAUGAAAAAUCCAAACAAUGUUGAAAAGUUAUGUAUUUUUAUAGGAAUUUUAUUUCUUCUUAAAGUUGUGUCUUUUCGUUAUUUAUUUCAAGAGUUGUGCAUUAGUUAUAAUUUAAUUGUAAAAUAUGUAAUUAUUUAAAUGAAAAGUUGUGACUAUUCAUAUUUCUAUAAUUUCAAAAUAAUUAAAUUUAAAUUUGAAAAGAUGUGACUAUUUAAAUUAAAAAGUUGUUACUAUUCAUAUAAGUAUCAUUUCAAAAUAACCACUUUUAAAUUGAAAGAUGUGACUAUUCAUAUAUAUGAAUAAAGUAAAACAAAAAGACAUAAAUUUCAUUUCAAUACUAAUAAAAAUAACUUUUCAUAAAAAAGCCUUAAGAGACACAAUUUUCAUAUUAACAAUGAUUAAAAAAUGAUAAAUAUUUACGUGGUGUCAUCAACGAAGAGGUACAAAUGUGUUGUGAUUUAAGAGAUAUGAACGCAUUAUAAUCUAAGAGGUAUGCACGUGUUGUGAUCCAAGAGGUACAAACACAUCACGAUCUAAAGAGUAUAAACGUUUUGUGACUGAAAGGAUGUGAAUGUAUUUUGACCGAAAAUAUACAAAACGGUCGUGACCAAUGAUCAUAAACGAAAAAGUGCAAAUGGAUCUUGACCGAAAGGAUGUGAAAUUAAUCUUGAAGAACAUCUGAUCUACCUGAAUCUAGGGAUUAGUUCUUGUGGACUAAGCAGGAGUCCAAGUUUAGAAAUCCGAGAUCCUCCGUUAGUAGAGAAACAAGAAGAUCAAAUAAUGUGAUGUAUCUAAAAGUAGAGGGACUUACAGAGUAGGAGACUGUGAUGGGGGAAGAAGAAAGGUGAAGAAGAGGUUUAAAGAGCCUUGCUGUGAAAUUCACAUCUCCGUCGAGUCUUCCGUUAAAUACAAUAUUCCCUCCUCCGUUAUAAGAUGCCUCUCCAGCACUAAACAAAGUCAUGUGCUUGCCGUUAUACAUUUGCGAAUAAAUGUAUCUUAAUCAACAAGAAGUUAAAAACAUUUUUUAGUUUCAGGGCAACAGUGACCUGAAUGAUAUCAGUGUUGUCUUCCUUGAACUCUAGGAGUGGCUGACGUGAAUAACACAACAAAGACAACAAUCAGAUGAGAAGAUAAUAUUAUAUGUACAAUGAAUGACUAUAAGAGGGUUGAACCUGGAGACUUUGGCAAGAUAUGUUGUACCAUGGAGCAUAAGAUAUCUGGCGACCCUCGAGAAAAGAGAUCUUCAGAGCAUAACUGAACAGAAAUCAUAGGUACACUUGUGUUAUUGUAACAAGAUAGGAAGAAAGACAAAAUCAAUCUCAGUUAACUUGAUUGAAAUCUGAGUAGAAAGGCAAGACUUGUGGAUAUGUUUGGACUAUUCCCCAUGACUUCUCUACAAGUGACCACCAUCCGAAGAAAAAACGCAUGAACUUUAAUAACAAAGAGAUGACAAUUUUUUUACAAUGAAACAGGCAAAAGAAGAGUAUUACUUAUUCUGAGCUGUAUGAAAAUUAGGUGGUUGAGCAGUCUCAUAUACCCAUCCGGGAGCGAAAAUAGCAGCUGAUACAUUGUUUCUCUAUCAUAUACACAGCAAUAUUAUCCUAUCAUAUAUAGAUUAAUGAAAUGAGACAAUGAAAACAAACAUCAACCAUAAUCACAAAACUCACCAGCCAUCCAUAAAAACCUAGAGAAGUAGCAAUCUCUGCCAAACCCUCUGCAUACAUCUGAGCAGACACCUUAGUGGCAAGCAUCUCAUCGCAGCGUUGAUCUGGAUCAUCUGUUUAUUGCUCAUCUCACGUCUAUACAGUUGAUGUUUGUGUGAACAGUCACGAAUUAAGCAAGAAGACAAUAGAGAAUAAAAUGUAUUGAGGCAAAUAUGAGAAUAAAAUGUAUUGAGGCAAAUAUCCGUUUAGUGUUUCUUAUUAUUGUGUGAAUGAAUAAUCUUACAAACUCUUAGACCCAUAUUUAUAUCAGCCUUAAAACCCGAUUUCAUUUAUCCUUCAUCCUACCCACGAGUGCUGGGCUUUUACUGGUACACAGAGAUUUAAGACACACAGAUGCAACAAUGUUUAGAUACAUAAGAGCUGAAAAUACACAUCUUUGACUGUGCUUGUAAUUUUCAGCUUAAUAAACAUAGUUGUUCAAUUACAGAGAAACAGAGAAGUAGAGAAAAUACACACCAACUUAAACCGAAAACAAUAACAGAGAAACAAAGAAGUUUGCUUAUAAAAAAGUAAAAACAGAGUAAUGAGAAAAACACCAAGCUAAACUGGAGAUGAUACCCCAAAUCUUAAUUGAUACAGAUAAACAUAGUGGUUGCUUUGAAUUUUCUUCUUUCAGAUUCUUCAGGUAGGUUAUAAAAGACCUAUACAAACAAAACAAGGACGUUUAUUCAGGAGAUUUGACUAUAAUAUUUUUGUUUCUUCAAAUGUUGACUUAAAACUCUAGAAUAUUACCUCUUUAAUGAGUUGUGUUGCUGCUGCGUCUGGGUUUGCUUCGGACAAAAGGGUUCAUGAACCACUCUGGUUUGUAGGAAAAAAGUAUGUAACCAAUCACCCAUCCAAAGGCAAAACCAGGUAUGACGCCUAUUACAACUGCUAUCCAACUCAGCACCUCUUCUUCUUCCUCUGACUCCAACGUUUCAUGCGGUGUUGACAUGUGAAUAUUUCUGCAAAUUUCGUCAAGAGAAGGGCCAGAAAGUCCCGGAUUACCGUCAAAGGAAGUGCAGUUCUGCCUUCGAAACUGAGUGCCGCCUGGUACUAGACCGACAAGCUGGUUGUGAGAGAAGUUCAUGUAGGAAAGGAAUGAGAGUUCCUCUAGCUCUUGAGGAAUUUCUCCUGAAAGCUGGUUUUGGGAAAGGUCCAGUGACUCAAGAGCCGUCAGGUUUCCCAUAGAUGAAGGAAUGAGGCCGGUGAAAGCAUUGUUGGACAAGUUGAGCACAUGGAGCUCUUUCAAUAGACCAAUGGAGCUUGGGAUCUCUCCUUCAAAUUUGUUUCCUGAAAAGUCAAGUGCUCUGAAGAUUUUUAGG
rnacentral:lncRNA from 1 species